AAAAGGUAUUCGUCAUGAAACAAGUUCCCGUAAGACUUACACCAACAUAGAACCGUUACAAGAAAUUGAUUUUAACUCAGCAACAGAUACUAGUGAGGAAGAAAGUACUCAUAAAGCAGCUGUUUCCCUAAAGAUUUACAGCGAUAUACAACCGGUUCGGGAAGUGGAAUUUAAUCGAAAAUUACCAGAUAUAAUUUUUGAGGUAUAAAUUAAAAACUUAAAUUUUUACAGUAGUUUUGUUUAUCUUUAUUUACUUUAUUUAUAGGAAAAAGGUAUUCGUCAUGAAACAAGUUCCCGUAAGACUUACACCAACAUAGAACCGUUACAAGAAAUUGAUUUUAACUCAGCAACAGAUACUAGUGAGGAAGAAAGUACUCAUAAAGCAGCUGUUUCCCUAAAGAUUUACAGCGAUAUACAACCGGUUCGGGAAGUGGAAUUUAAUCGAAAAUUACCAGAUAUAAUUUUUGAGGUAUAAA
rnacentral:lncRNA from 1 species